GGAGAGAUGGCUCAGUGGUUAAGAGCACUGACUGUUCUUCCAGAGGUCCUGAGUUCAAAUCCCAGCAACCACA
rnacentral:tRNA from 1 species